rnacentral:rRNA from 1 species
GACGAACGCUGGCGGCGUGCUUAACACAUGCAAGUCGAACGGAAAGGCCCUGCUUUUGUGGGGUGCUCGAGUGGCGAACGGGUGAGUAACACGUGAGUAACCUGCCCUUGACUUUGGGAUAACUUCAGGAAACUGGGGCUAAUACCGGAUAGGAGCUCCUGCUGCAUGGUGGGGGUUGGAAAGUUUCGGCGGUUGGGGAUGGACUCGGGGCUUAUCAGCUUGUUGGUGGGGGAAUGGCUUACCAAGGCUUUGGUGGGUAGCCGGCGUGAGAGGGUGACCGGCGGCAGGGGAAGUGAGACGCCGGCCGGGGGCCUACGGGAGGCACCAGUGGGGAAUGGGGGACAGUGGGGGGAAGCCUGAACCAGGGGGGGCGCGUGUGUGAAGAAGGUCUUCGGGGGGGAAAGCCGUUUUAGUUGUGAGAAAGGGCAGUAAGUUGAUACCUUGCUGGUUUGACGUUAAGGAGAAAAGAAGCACCGGCUAACUUCGUG